CACGGAAAUGUCAACAAAACCGUACUAAUCCCAUCUGUAGCGGAAUUGCAAAAAACUAUAUUACUUGAAUCCGCGCCUAUCAGCUUGGCAACUUCAUUUCGAGUAGCCUCCAUGUACAUCGGCAUAUAGGCAUUGCACAUAAAAUCUGGCUUGCUCUGAGCUUCCUUUAAAAGUUGGACAUGUUUAUUGUAAACAGCAAGAGAUUCUGUUCCACAACUUCCGUUAUUUACAUUCACGUAAUCGGGAUCAAGCAUAAAAUGCUUUUUCAUUUCAUGGCCGUAGACGUUGUUUUCAGCCAUUUAUAAAAUUAAAUCACAGUGAAUUUCGGAACUCCCAAUUUGUAGUUAAGUAGACAGUCUAACUUUGUAUGUUUCCGUUUUGGAUUACAAUAAUUGAAUAAUAAUGACGAUAGUUUGCUUGCUAUAAAAUGUCACAAUGGCUUAUUAACAAAAUAGUGUAUCGUCAGGCUAAAGGAAACCGUUGGCGGUUAGGUGCUAAUGAAAUGAUUAAUAUUAGCGGAUAACGGAAUUAAUAUACUAUCAAAAAACAGACGAUCUUUGAAAUUAUAAAGAUUUCUAUCAUAAUGAUAACAAUAAUUUUACAAGAAAGAUACUUAUAAUCUACGUUUUUUGGAGAUACGAUAAGACUGAUCUGAUCUACAAAAGAUCAUGGCUUCAGAACUUUUUUCGAACAUAUCCGUUACUCUAUCAUUUCUUUAGCAUCCCCAUUGACUUUACAAAAACUAAAACCAGCGCUUAAUCUUUUUUAAAUCUCUCGUUGUCAAGGUUUUACUGAAGGUUGUUGCGAGACGGAUUAAAUAGUUUACUCCAUUCCAUUUAGAAUGUGGGGAGCUAAUUAAGGAUCUUUAAAGAUAAAUUUGUACGAUUUAAUCAAAGAAAUGUUGUAUUUUAAGAUUUUGUAUGUAAUUAACAAAAUUUGUCGCAAAACAGUCUUUUUGCUCAGUUAUAUUAUUAUUACUCAAUUAAAGAAUGUAACCUGCUG